UGUUUCUCCAGUCGAGCUAGCAAAAAUGAGUAAAAAUUUAUUUUGAAAAAUGUAAAAAAUGUGGCGAUUCUCUCCCAAUUCCAUCCGUCGGUGCAAUUGUGUCUCUUGACACUCAGCUCGACAUCGGCGGAAGCGAGUUUUGUGGCGAUCUGGACUUUGAAGCAGGGACAUUAAAGGCGCUCGGUCUGCUCCGUCCUGAAGCGAGAGCGGGGGCGUCCGGGCCAGGCUGGCGGCCAACCCAGCUCGACCGGCCGUGCCUUCCUUUCUUCGGGCGAACGUUCGAUCGCUGGGCAUCAACAUGCCUGCUGAGAUCUAUGAAACGGACAGUGCGUAACUGCUGUGCAUCUGGAGCGGCUAGCGUGCUAUCGGGCGGACCGGGCCAUUGUACGAGGGGGAACAUCGCGAGGAGGUGGACUGCGUGUCUACAUCCGUGACGAAUGGUGCCGGGACUCUGUGGUGGGAUGCAAGCACUGCUCGCCUCUGGCGAAGUUUGUGAUCUUCAGGCUUUUGGCGUCCUGAACUCUCUCCCCCAUUGUUUACUUGAAUUGACAAUAAAGCUGACUCUGACUCUGACUCAAGUCAAGACGCUCGUCUCGGUCACGUGACGUCACCUCAGUCGAGCCCGCGAAGCAAACAAAUAUGAUCAAGAAAUAGAGAUGUUUGGAGAAAAAGCCCAAUGAGGAGACGGAAGAAGAAGAGGCUACGACUUCGACGAAAGAGUCCUACUGCAAAUAUGGAUUUAUCGCCGCCACAGGUGGCUCUGACACGACCAAGCAUCCUGUAUUUAAAGACAAACCAUAACCACUUGGGGUGUCAUUGUCUCCGAUAACGCUGGCUCGUUUCUGAGAAACAAGCUCAGUGCUCCCACUACUGAUUCACAAUUUGGUUUUGUCUGAUAUCAGAGAUUAAAUAAAGAAAACCAACUGGCUGAUUGAUUUGUUUUAAUUGAGAGGAAAAAAAAACAGCAAAAGCAUUUCACUAGCUGACCAGGAGAUGGCGACAGCGUGGCAUCUGAAGACCAUGGAUUGUUUGUUCUGCUAUAGCCUAGGUGACUGAUUCACAAUUUGGUUUUGUCUGAUAAUAGAUAUUAAAUAAAGAAAACCAACUGGCUAAUUGAUUUGUUUUAAUUGAGAGAAAAAAAAACAUCAGCAAAAGCAUUUCACUAACUGACCAGGAGAUGGCGACAGCGCGGCAUCUGAAGACCAUGGAUCGUUCUGCUA